rnacentral:rRNA from 1 species
UACGUAGGCGGCGAGCGUUGUCCGGAUUUACUGGGCGUAAAGCGCGCGCAGGCGGUUCUGUAAGUCCUGGGUGAAAUCGCCCGGCUCAACUGGGCGGGGGCCUGGGGGACUGCGGGACUGGAGGGGCCUAGAGGCCGGUGGAACUCCCGGUGUAGUGGUGAAAUGCGUAGAGAUCGGGAAGAACACCAGUGGCGAAGGCGGCCGGCUGGGGGCGCCCUGACGCUGAGGCGCGAGAGCGUGGGGAGCGAACCGG